GGGGUCAUUGUACAUUGUCUGACUGUGACUAAUCAUAUCACUAUGAGCUUGGAAGACUCAGAUCGGGCACAAAUAGCCCAUAUGAACUUUUGGGAUGGUGAAGGAGAUGUCUCCAAAUCUGCCCAUCUCAUUUCUUUUGAGCUUCUACAGUUCUGCUAUGCCCACACAGCACAAAGCUUCUUUGAUGCAGAAUGCCAUGAUGGACAGAUCUGUUCCAGUGUCUUCCAUGUCCCACAAUCAAUACCAAAGUUCUUCAGAGAGAUUUUUAGAGUGUCUUUGUAUCCCUUUUUCUGGCUUCCAUGUGAGUGCUUGCCUUGGGAGCUUAGGAGAGGAGUCUGCCAUCUUGCCAGGACCUGUUCCUCAAUGUAGUCUCUUAGGCAAAUGUGCAUUGGGCAUUCAGGAAGCUAAGGAUUCUGAGAGGAAAGGAUUGGAGGAAUACAUUACAAACAUGGGGGCAACCUGAAUAAAGACAUGGCGAUUGGAGAUGGAAUGUUCACUCUGGAGAACAACAAAUAGUUCCUUUCAUCUGAAUCAGCCUUCUUGCAUUUAUCAACCAGGGAAAAGAAAGACAACUAUCCCUAACACUCUUCAGUUUCAAAGGAACAAGCAAGAAACAACGAACUCCUCAGCUCCGAGGAGUACUUUGAUCUCCUUGGAAAAUGGGCACCAUGAAAACAAGAUGCUUCCUUUCUUGAGGAUUGUUUUUCUAUGUUCCUAUUUUUCUCCUUUUAAAACAAAGCUCUCAUCAGAAAAUGAGUAA
rnacentral:lncRNA from 1 species